rnacentral:rRNA from 1 species
UACGAGAGGCCCAAACGUUAUUCGGAAUUACUGGGCUUAAAGAGUUCGUAGGCGGCGCAGAAAGUGGGGUGUGAAAGCCCCCGGCUCAACCGAGGAAUUGCGCUCCAAACUACUGUGCUUGAGGAAGCUAGAGGUGAGCAGAACUGAUGGUGGAGCGGUGAAAUGCGUUGAUAUCAUCAGGAAUACCGGAGGCGAAGGCGGCUCACUGGGGCUUUUCUGACGCUGAGGAACGAAAGCCAGGGUAGCGAACGGG